rnacentral:misc_RNA from 1 species
GAUGAAGAACGUAGCGAAAUGCGAUAAGUAAUGUGAAUUGCAGAAUUCAGUGAAUCAUCGAAUCUUUGAACGCACCUUGCGCCCUUUGGCUAUUCCGAAGGGCAUGCCUGUUUGAGUAUCAUGAACACCUCAACUCUCAUGGUUCGCCAUGAUGAGCUUGGACUCUGGGGGUCUUGCUGGCCUAUGGUCAGCUCCUCUCAAAUAAAUCAGCUUGCCAGUGUUUGGUGGCAUCACAGGCGUGAUAACUAUCUACGCUUGUGGUUUUCCAUCAGGUAACCUUCAGUGAUGGAGGUUCGCUGGAGCUCAUAAAUGUCCCUCCUCAGCGAGGACAGCUUUUUGAACGUUUGAUCUCAAAUCAGGUAGGACUACCCGCUGAACUUAAGCAUAUCAAUAAGCGGAGGA